UACGAAGGGUGCAAACGUUGCUCGGAAUUAUUGGGCGUAAAGCGCACGUAGGCGGCUUUGCAAGUCGGAUGUGAAAUCCCCUCGGCUUAACCAAGGAAGUGCAUCCGAAACUGCAGAGCUUGAGUACUUAAGAGGAUCGCGGAAUUCCCGGUGUAGAGGUGAAAUUCGUAGAUAUCGGGAGGAACACCAGUGGCGAAGGCGGCGAUCUGGGAAGAUACUGACGCUGAGGCGCGAAAGCGUGGGGAGCAAACAGG
rnacentral:rRNA from 1 species